rnacentral:rRNA from 1 species
GACGAACGCUGGCGGCGUGCCUAAUACAUGCAAGUUGAGCGAUGAAGAUUGGUGCUUGCACCAAUUUGAAGAGCAGCGAACGGGUGAGUAACGCGUGGGGAAUCUGCCUUUGAGCGGGGGACAACAUUUGGAAACGAAUGCUAAUACCGCAUAACAACUUUAAACAUAAGUUUUAAGUUUGAAAGAUGCAAUUGCAUCACUCAAAGAUGAUCCCGCGUUGUACUAGCUAGUUGGUGAGGUAAAGGCUCACCAAGGCGAUGAUACAUAGCCGACCUGAGAGGGUGAUCGGCCACAUUGGGACUGAGACACGGCCCAAACUCCUACGGGAGGCAGCAGUAGGGAAUCUUCGGCAAUAGACGAAAGUCUGACCGAGCAACGCCGCGUGAGUGAAGAAGGUUUUCGGAUCGUAAAACUCUGUUGGUAGAGAAGAACGUUGGUGAGAGUGGAAAGCUCAUCAAGUGACGGUAACUACCCAGAAAGGGACGGCUAACUACGUG